AUGCGGUAUGACGGUACCCUUUCGAAUAAGAGGUUGCUAACUCUGUGCCAGCAGCAGCGGUAAUACAGAGACCUCGAGCGUUAUCCGGAUUUACUGGGCGUAAAGCGUCUGUAGGGGGUUUGUUAAGUUCCAAGUAAAAUCUUAAGGCUCAACUUUAAGUUCGCUUGGAAAACUAAUAAACUGGAGUCCAGCAGAGGUGCAUGGAACUUGCGGUGUAGGAGUGAAAUCCGUUGAUAUCGCAAGGAACACCAAAGGCGAAGGCAUUGCACUGGGCUGGUACUGACCCUGAGAGACGAAAGCGUGGGGAGCAAAACGGAUUAGAUACCCGUGUAGUCCACGCCGUAAACGAUGGAUACUAGAUGUUCGGGGAUUCGACCCCCUGGGUGUCACAGCUAACGCGUUAAGUAUCCCGCCUGGGAAGUACGGCCGCAAGGCUAAAACUCAAAGGAAUAGACGGGGAUCCGCACAAGCGGUGGAGCGUUUGGUUUAAUUUGAUAGUAAGCAAUGGACCUCACCAAGGUUUGACAUCCUAUGACAACCCUGGAAACAGGGCUUCCUUCGGGCAUAGUGACAGGUGCUGCAUGGUCGUCGUCAGUUCGUGCCGUGAGGUGUUCCGUUAAGUCGGGAAACGAACGAAACCCUCGUCGCAUGUUACAAAUUUCAUGCGAGACUGCCCGGGUCAACCGGGAGGAAGGCGGGGAUGACGUCAGAUCAGCAUGGCCCUUAUACCUUGGGCUACACAGGCGCUACAAUGGCCGGUACAAAGGGUUGCAAAACCGCGAGGUGAAGCUAAUCCCAUAAAGCCGGUCCAAGUUCGGAUUGGAGGCUGCAACUCGCCUCCAUGAAGUUGGAAUCGCUAGUAAUCGUGGAUCAGCCAUACCACGGUGAAUACGUUCCCGGAUCUUGUACUCACCGCCCGUCACACCAAGAGAGUUGG
rnacentral:rRNA from 1 species